UACGUAGGGGGCUAGCGUUGUCCGGAAUCAUUGGGCGUAAAGCGCGUGUAGGCGGUCCGGUAAGUCCGCUGUGAAAGUCGGGGGCUCAACCCUCGAAUGCCGGUGGAUACUGUCGGGCUAGAGUGCGGAAGAGGCGAGUGGAAUUCCGGGUGUAGCGGUGAAAUGCGCAGAUAUCGGGAGGAACACCAGUAGCGAAGGCGGCUCGCUGGGCCGUUCCUGACGCUGAGACGCGAAAGCUAGGGGAGCGAACAGG
rnacentral:rRNA from 1 species